rnacentral:rRNA from 1 species
AGGAGAGUUUGAUCCUGGCUCAGGAUGAACGCUGGCGGCGUGCCUAACACAUGCAAGUCGAACGGAGUUUAUUCGCUGACGAGGCUUCGGCCAGAUCUUGAAUAAACUUAGUGGCGGACGGGUGAGUAACGCGUGGGCAACCUGCCUCAUACUGGGGGAUAGCAGUUGGAAACGACUGAUAAUACCGCAUAAGCGCACGGAGUCGCAUGACCCUGUGUGAAAAACUCCGGUGGUAUGAGAUGGGCCCGCGUCAGAUUAGCUAGUUGGUAAGGUAAUGGCUUACCAAGGCGACGAUCUGUAGCCGGACUGAGAGGUCGGACGGCCACAUUGGGACUGAGACACGGCCCAAACUCCUACGGGAGGCAGCAGUGGGGGAUAUUGCACAAUGGAGGAAACUCUGAUGCAGCGACGCCGCGUGAGUGAAGAAGUAUUUCGGUAUGUAAAGCUCUAUCAGCAGGGAAGAAAGGCCCGCAAGGGAGAUGACGGUACCUGACUAAGAAGCCCCGGCUAACUACGUGCCAGCAGCCGCGGUAAUACGUAGGGGGCAAGCGUUAUCCGGAUUUACUGGGUGUAAAGGGAGCGCAGACGGCUAUGCAAGUCUGAAGUGAAACCCCACGGCUCAACCGUGGGCUUGCUUUGGAAACUGUAUAGCUAGAGUACUGGAGAGGUAAGCGGAAUUCCUAGUGUAGCGGUGAAAUGCGUAGAUAUUAGGAGGAACAUCGGUGGCGAAGGCGGCUUACUGGACAGCAACUGACGUUGAGGCUCGAAGGCGUGGGGAGCAAACAGGAUUAGAUACCCUGGUAGUCCCCU